GGGUCUAUAGCUCAGUGGUAGAGCGUUCGGCUCAUAACCGAUUGGUCACAGGUUCGAUCCCUGUUAGACCCA
rnacentral:tRNA from 1 species